GGUACCUACGGGACGCAGCAGUGAGGAAUAUUGGUCAAUGGGCGGAAGCCUGAACCAGCCAAGUCGCGUGAGGGAAUAAGGCCCUACGGGUCGUAAACCUCUUUUGCCGGGGAGCAAGGGCCGGGACGAGUCCCGGUCCGGAGAGUACCCGGAGAAAAAGCAUCGGCUAACUCCGUGCCGGCAGCCGCGGUAAUACGGAGGAUGCGAGCGUUAUCCGGAUUUUUUGGGUUUAAAGGGUGCGUAGGCGGGCUUUUAAGUCAGCGGUAAAAAUUCGGGGCCCAACCCCGCCCGG
rnacentral:rRNA from 1 species